GACGAACGCUGGCGGCGUGCCUAAUACAUGCAAGUCGAGCGCAGGAAGCCGACGGAACCCUUCGGGGGGAAGUCGACGGAAUGAGCGGCGGACGGGUGAGUAACACGUAAAGAACCUGCCCUCAGGUCUGGGAUAACCACGAGAAAUCGGGGCUAAUACCGGAUGGGUCAUCGGACCGCAUGGUCCGAGGAUGAAAGGCGCUUCGGCGUCGCCUGGGGAUGGCUUUGCGGUGCAUUAGCUAGUUGGUGGGGUAAUGGCCCACCAAGGCGACGAUGCAUAGCCGACCUGAGAGGGUGGUCGGCCACACUGGGACUGAGACACGGCCCAGACUCCUACGGGAGGCAGCAGUAGGGAAUCUUCCACAAUGGACGAAAGUCUGAUGGAGCAACGCCGCGUGAACGAUGAAGGCCUUCGGGUCGUAAAGUUCUGUUGUAAGGGAAGAACAAGUGCCGCAAGCAAUGGCGGCACCUUGACGGUACCUUGCGAGAAAGCCACGGCUAACUACGUGCCAGCCGCCGCAGUAACAC
rnacentral:rRNA from 1 species